GACGAAUUCUGCAGCAAUCAAGGAUUUUAUAUUUGCUAAUCAGAGAAUUAAGGGAGAUUCUUUCCUUUAAAUUCGUCAUUUAAAUUCUGUUAUUCCCUACCAUAUCUAUCUAAUUUUAUUUCCCUUGCAGAACCCUAAUUGCGCGCACCAGGAAAGGGAGGAAAAUCAUGGAUUUUAAAUCAGAGGCUUGAUUGAUAGCAGAAGAGGAUAAGUUCUUAAUCACAGGGAAUUCCAUUGGAGAACAAGUUGUGUACCUGGUCCAUAUUCAAGCCUUAUGGAAUGGAUUACUGCACAAGACAAUCCAGAGAAUUCUGGGAAAGUCUAAAUCAGAUUUAAAUCAAUAAUUCUACACUGUUGGAUCACAAAUCAAUCAAGGGCUAGGAGGAUAGCUAGGGUUUCGCCAAGACACUAUAUAAAGGAGCAGAGAGAAACGUUUCUUCAUCUCUUCUUCGCACAGUAAUCGGCAUUUUCGCACGAUCUUACGAGAUUGCGAACAUAUCAACGUUCUCGGAAUCUGCCGAAACCAAAUUCUUGGCUCCUUUUGGGACCUCCAUACACCCACAACAUUGAUCUUUCAACUUUUUUUGAGAAAAUUUGACGUGUUAUUUUUUCGCACGAUCUUAGAGAUUGCGAACAUAUCAACGUUCUCGGAAUCUGCCGAUACCAAAUUCUUGGCUCUUUUUGGGACCUCCAUACACCCACAACAUUGAUCUUUCAACUUUUUUUGAGAAAAUUUGAGGUGUUAUUUUGGCAUUUUCGCACGAUCUUACGAGAUUGCGAACAUAUCAACGUUCUCGGAAUCUGCCGAAACCAAAUUCUUGGCUCUUUGUGGGACCUCCAUACACCCACAACAUUGAUCUUUCAACUUUUUUUGAGAAAAUUUGAGGUGUUAUUUUGGCAUUUUCGCACGAUCUUACGAGAUUGCGAACAUAUCAACGUUCUCGGAAUCUGCCGAAACCAAAUUCUUGGCUCUUUUUGGGACCUCCAUACACCCACAACAUUGAUCUUUCAACUUUUUUUGAGAAAAUUUGACGUGUUAUUUUGGCAUUUUCGCACGAUCUUACGAGAUUACGAUCAUAUCAACGUUCUCGGAAUCUGCCGAAACCAAAUUCUUGGCUCUUUUUGGGACCUCCAUACACCCACAACAAUGAUCUUUCAACUUUUUUUGAGAAAAUUAGACGUGUUAUUUUUUCGCACGAUCUUACGAGAUUGCGAACAUAUCAACGUUCUCGGAAUCUGCCGAAACCAAAUUCUUGGCUCUUUUUGGGUACCUCCAUACACCCACAACAUUGAUCUUUCAACUUUUUUUGUAGAAAAUUU
rnacentral:lncRNA from 1 species